rnacentral:tRNA from 1 species
GGAGAGGUGCCAGAGUGGACGAUCGGGGCGGUCUCGAAAACCGUUGAGGUCCUUGCGGGCCUCCGUGGGUUCGAAUCCCACCCUCUCCGCCA